UGGCGGACGGGUGAGUAAUGUCUGGGAAACUGCCCGAUGGAGGGGGAUAACUACUGGAAACGGUAGCUAAUACCGCAUAACGUCGCAAGACCAAAGAGGGGGACCUUAGGGCCUCUUGCCAUCGGAUGUGCCCAGAUGGGAUUAGCUAGUAGGCGGGGUAACGGCUCACCUAGGCGACGAUCCCUAGCUGGUCUGAGAGGAUGACCAGCCACACUGGAACUGAGACACGGUCCAG
rnacentral:rRNA from 1 species